GCGCAGGCUCAGUGGCCAUGGCUCACGGGCCCAGCCGCUCUGCGACAUGUGGGAUCUUCCCGGACCGGGGCACGAACCCGGGUCCCCUGCAUCGGCAGGUGGACUCUCAACCACUGCGCCACCAGGGAAGCCCCUGAGGAUGUAAUUAAGAGUCUCAAGAAGAUCAUUCUGGAGUAUCCAGAUGGACGCUAAAUCCAGUGACAAGUGACUUGUAAGAGACACACAGAGGAGAGACAGAGAGACGACACCCGUGUGAAGACAGAGGCAGAGAUCGGAGGGAUGCAGCCACAAGCCCAGGGAUGCCUGGGGCUCCCAGAAGCUGGAAGAGGCAGGAAGGACCAUCUCCUGGAGCCUCCAGAGGGAGCACAGCCCUGUGACACCUUGAUCUUGAACUUCUGGCCUCUGGAUGGUGAAAGGAAAAAUUCCUGUUGUCCCAAGCUACCCAGUUGGUGGUGACUGGUUACAGCAGCCCCAGGAGACUCAGAGGCUCACCCUACACCCUGCAGUCUCUGACAGAAUGACAUGCUCUCUGCCAACGAGAAAGAAUGAUGCACCAGUCAUUCCCGCAGCAGCGUGGUGAGUCUGAGUCAGACAGGAGGGGACAGAAGACCCCGUGGACAUAACACAAGUGACCUUCAAGGCCAGAGGCAAUGGAGGCAGGAUGGGGGUUACUUUGAGGGGGAAGUGACUGGGAGGGGCCGGCCCUGUUGUGAGACUUGCCCCCAAGUCGCGGGUUACACUUUUCUGUACAUUUAAAUUAAAACCAAAACAAAUCUGA